rnacentral:tRNA from 1 species
GGAGAGAUGGCCGAGCGGUUGAAGGCGCAGGUCUCGAAAACCUGUAGGCUCGCAAGGGCCUCGUGGGUUCGAAUCCCACUCUCUCCG